UGACAUGAUAUGGUGAGAAAGGACAUAU
rnacentral:piRNA from 1 species